rnacentral:rRNA from 1 species
CCUCGGGCGGCUGCAGUGGGGAAUAUUGCACAAUGGGCGCAAGCCUGAUGCAGCCAUGCCGCGUGUGUGAAGAAGGCCUUCGGGUUGUAAAGCACUUUCAGCGGGGAGGAAUGCGUUAAGGUUAAUAACCUUGGCGAUUGACGUUACCCGCAGAAGAAGCACCGGCUAACUCCGUGCCAGCAGCCGCGGUAAUACGGAGGGUGCAAGCGUUAAUCGGAAUUACUGGGCGUAAAGCGCACGCAGGCGGUCUGUCAAGUCGGAUGUGAAAUCCCCGGGCUCAACCUGGGAACUGCAUUCGAAACUGGCAGGCUAGAGUCUUGGAGAGGGGGGUAGAAUUCCAGGUGUAGCGGUGAAAUGCGUAGAGAUCUGGAGGAAUACCGGUGGCGAAGGCGGCCCCCUGGACAAAGACUGACGCUCAGGUGCGAAAGCGUGGGGAGCAAACAGGAUUAGAUACCCGAGUAGUC